rnacentral:rRNA from 1 species
GACGUAGGGCGCGAGCGUUGUCCGGAUUUAUUGGGCGUAAAGAGCUCGUAGGCGGCUUGUCGCGUCGACUGUGAAAACCCGCGGCUCAACCGCGGGCCUGCAGCCGAUACGGGCAGGCUAGAGUUCGGUAGGGGAGACUGGAAUUCCUGGUGUAGCGGUGAAAUGCGCAGAUAUCAGGAGGAACACCCGUGGCUAAGGCGGUUCUCUAGUACGGUACUGACGCUGAGACGCGAAAGCGUGGGGAGCGAACAGG